rnacentral:rRNA from 1 species
UACAGAGGGGGCAAGCGUUGUUCGGAAUUACUGGGCGUAAAGGGCGCGUAGGCGGCCUGUUAAGUCGGACGUGAAAUCCCUCGGCUCAACCGGGGAACUGCGUCCGAUACUGGCGGGCUUGAAUUCGGGAGAGGGAUGUGGAAUUCCAGGUGUAGCGGUGAAAUGCGUAGAUAUCUGGAGGAACACCGGUGGCGAAGGCGGCAUCCUGGACCGGUACUGACGCUCAUGAGCGAAAGCGUGGGGAGCGAUCCGG